GAUGAACGCUGGCGGCGUGCCUAAUACAUGCAAGGCGAGCGAACAGACGAGGAGCUUGCUCCUCUGACGUUAGCGGCGGACGGGUGAGUAACACGUGGAUAACCUACCUAUAAGACUGGGAUAACUUCGGGAAACCGGAGCUAAUACCGGAUAAUAUAUUGAACCGCAUGGUUCAAUAGUGAAAGACGGUUUUGCUGUCACUUAUAGAUGGAUCCGCGCCGCAUUAGCUAGUUGGUAAGGUAACGGCUUACCAAGGCAACGAUGCGUAGCCGACCUGAGAGGGUGAUCGGCCACACUGGAACUGAGACACGGUCCAGACUCCUACGGGAGGCAGCAGUAGGGAAUCUUCCGCAAUGGGCGAAAGCCUGACGGAGCAACGCCGCGUGAGUGAUGAAGGUCUUCGGAUCGUAAAACUCUGUUAUUAGGGAAGAACAAAUGUGUAAGUAACUAUGCACGUCUUGACGGUACCUAAUCAGAAAGCCACGGCUAACUACGUG
rnacentral:rRNA from 1 species